GCUGGACGAUAAUUUUGCAGCAAAAUUUCAGGUGGAAGACUGGACGUGAAAGUGGUGGAAAAAAUACAUGCUGGACCGAGCUCCGAGAAAAUUAACAAAAAAUGGCAGAAAAUCACCGUGCUCAUUUAAUGCAUCUUGAUCGUGUCAACAGCCUCAGAGAGAUAGCCAACAGGCCCAGACCCUGACGG